rnacentral:tRNA from 1 species
CGCGGGGUGGAGCAGACCGGUAGCUCAUCGGGCUCAUAACCCGAAGACCGUGGGUUCAAAUCCCACCC